GGAAGACAGCCGAGGAAAAUGGGGCCGUCUGCCGCUCCCGCGGCCGGACAAGGUGUGAAAAUAACGUCCAGAGACGCGCAGGUGUCUCUACCGAAACAUUCCUACUGGUUCGACUUUUUGCUCUUCGUCGUGUUCGACGUCUCGUUUUUCCUCGUCAUGUAUUUCAUCGUCCCGUAGCAGAAAGGUGUGUCACCUGGACUGAGGCCUGAAGCUCCUCCCACUUCCUGCUGUGAAGGACGGCGCCUCAGCUGCAGCCGAAAUGCUGCUUCGGUGGCUCUCAGUCCGCAAGUUUCAAAGAUGCAGAAGAUGGGAUUUCAGCUUUAAUACUCUGGGCGUCUUCUUCCCUUGUUAAUAUCUGAACCAGUCGACUCGCUGCCGUGGGGACGUUCAGUCAGGGUAGUGCUCGGGUUAGGUGGCGUCAUGUAAUGACUACCGGAGUGAGAUGUGUGUCCAUCUAAGCAUCACUGGUAUGGAAAAACGUACUGGUGACGUUAUGGGUUUUCCACACCACAGUGAAAUCACUAAGAAUUGCUUUUGAUUGUGUGCAAAGCAGAUUACCUUUCUUGUUUCUCUAUGUUUUGUAAUCUGACAGUGGCUAGUCAUGCUCUGGAGGUUUACUGGGAGUGACGCUUGCUUAACGUCACCAGUCCUCGUCUAAACCUGGUCAGACCCGAUCAGUGUUGUGGAAAGACUUAACGUGAUGUAAGGAGGUCUGGGUUGGGUGUGACCCCUUUCCUAAACUAUGAAUACUGUCACAUCACUAUUGUUGUAUCAUAAGAGGAAAAACAAGUCAAAACAAACCAGAUUUUAUACUAACUAAUAAAGGAUGAUUGCCAUGUU